rnacentral:lncRNA from 1 species
CUUGGCAAGGCCCCGGGAGCAGGGACCUUUUCUCUCCCACUAUACAGAUGGGGACACUGAGGCGCUGGUUCUCAAUCUAUGAAAAAAUGGGGUGCUGGUAGGGUCUUGUUCCGUCACCCAGACUGGAGUGCAGUAGCAGGAUCACAGCUCAAUGCAACCUAGAAGAAUUCCUGUCGUCCUGUGCUCAUGAGAUCCUCCCUCCUCUUGCAACUGCAUAUGAAUUGACAAUUAUUUCAAUAAAAUUUUCAAUUAAAAAAUUA